rnacentral:rRNA from 1 species
GAUGAACGCUAGCGGGAGGCCUAACACAUGCAAGCCGAGCGGUAGAGUUUCUUCGGAAACUUGAGAGCGGCGCACGGGUGCGUAACACGUGUGCAACCUACCUUUAUCUGGGGGAUAGCCUUUCGAAAGGAAGAUUAAUACCCCAUAAUAUAAUGAUUGGCAUCAAUUAUUAUUGAAAACUCCGGUGGAUAGAGAUGGGCACGCGCAAGAUUAGAUAGUUGGUGAGGUAACGGCUCACCAAGUCAAUGAUCUUUAGGGGUCCUGAGAGGGAGAUCCCCCACACUGGUACUGAGACACGGACCAGACUCCUACGGGAGGCAGCAGUGAGGAAUAUUGAACAAUGGGUGAGAGCCUGAUCCAGCCAUCCCGCGUGAAGGAGGACGGUCCUAUGGAUUGUAAACUUCUUUUGUACAGGGAUAAACCUACCCUCGUGAGGGUAGCUGAAGGUACUGUACGAAUAAGCACCGGCUAACUCCGUG